rnacentral:rRNA from 1 species
AUUGAACGCUGGCGGCAGGCUUAACACAUGCAAGUCGACAUGAGUGGCGAACGGGUGAGUAAUACGUGGGUAACCUGCCCUCCUUUUUGGGAUAAGCCUUGGCAACGGGGUCUAAUACCGUAUAAAGGGGGAUGGGCUCGUGGCCUAUCAGCUUGUUGGUGGGGUGGUGGCCUACCAAGGCGGUGACGGGUAGCCGGCGUGAGAGGCUACACGGGCACAGUGGGACGGCGCAGCGGCCCAGGCGACUACGCGAGGGAGAAGUGGGGGCUAUUGCACAAUGGGUGAAAGCCUGAUGCAGCGAGACUGCGGGGGGGUUGAGGGCUUUAAGGUUGUAAACCUCUUUCGCUAUCGAAACGGUAGGUGGAGAAGAAGCGCCGGCUAACUACGUGCCAGCCGCCGCGGUAAUAC